rnacentral:rRNA from 1 species
CCUACGGGUGGCAGCAGUGGGGAAUAUUGGACCAUGGGGGGAACCCUGAUCCCGCGACGCCGCGUGAGUGAAGAAGUAUUUCGGUAUGUAAAGCUCUAUCAGCAGGGAAGAAAGACAUGACGGUACCUGACUACGAAGCCCCGGCUAACUACGUGCCCGCAGCCGCGGUAAUACGUAGGGGGCAAGCGUUAUCCGGAUUUACUGGGUGUAAAGGGAGCGUAGACGGCGAUGCAAGUCUGAAGUGAAAGGCGGGGGCCCAACCCCCGGACUGCUUUGGAAACUGUAUGGCUGGAGUGCAGGGGAGGUAAGUGGAAUUCCUAGUGUAGCUGUGAAAUGCGUAGAUAGUAGGAGGAACACCAGUGGCGAAGGCGGCUUACUGGACUGUAACUGACGUUGAGGCUCGAAAGCGUGGGGAGCAAACAGGAUUAGAUACCCCUGUAGUC